rnacentral:rRNA from 1 species
GUGCCGGGAGCUUACCAUGCAAGUCGAGGGGUAACAUGAGGUAGCAAUACUUUGAUGACGACCGGCGCACGGGUGAGUAACGCGUAUGCAACCUACCCUGUACAGGGGGAUAGCCCGGAGAAAUUCGGAUUAAUACCCCAUAAAGAUAUUGAGAGGCAUCUUUUAAUAUUUAAAGUUUCGGCGGUACGGGAUGGGCAUGCGUAACUUUAGCUAGUUGGUAGGGUAACGGCCUACCAAGGCUACGAUGUUUAGGGGACCUGAGAGGGUGAUCCCCCACACUGGUACUGAGACACGGACCAGACUCCUACGGGAGGCAGCAGUGAGGAAUAUUGGUCAAUGGACGGAAGUCUGAACCAGCCAUCCCGCGUGCAGGAAGAAGGCGCUAUGCGUUGUAAACUGCUUUUCUGAGGGAAGAAAACCCCCGACGUGUCGGGGCUUGUCGGUACCUUGGGAAUAAGCAUCGGCUAACUCCGUGCCAGCAGCCGCGGUAAUACGAAGGAUGCGAGCGUUAUCCGGAUUUAUUGGGUUUAAAGGGUGCGUAGGCGGACCGAUAAGUCAGUGGUGAAAACCUGCAGCUUAACUGUAGACGUGCCAUUGAUACUGUCGGACUUGAGUAUGGUCAAGGUAGGCGGAAUGUGUAAUGUAGCGGUGAAAUGCUUAGAUAUUACACAGAACACCGAUUGCGAAGGCAGCUUGCUGGACCAUUACUGACGCUGAUGCACGAAAGCGUGGGGGAGCGAACAGGAUUAGAUACCCUGGGUAGUCCACG